CAACCCCUCAGGCCCUGGUGCCUGGCGUCGGGGCGUUCCCCUCACCGGGAAGCCCCCAGAGACAGUGGCGGACCCGCCGCGGCUCCGAGCGCAGUAGUAAAAUAUCUCGCUUAGGAGGCCCGCGGGGGGACCUUCCGGCCGUAAAACCCGGGCGCGAGCCCGAACUCUCAA
rnacentral:misc_RNA from 1 species